AACGAACGCUGGCGGCAGGCCUAACACAUGCAAGUCGAGCGGCAGCACGGGUACUUGUACCUGGUGGCGAGCGGCGGACGGGUGAGUAAUGCCUAGGAAUCUGCCUGGUAGUGGGGGAUAACGUCCGGAAACGGGCGCUAAUACCGCAUACGUCCUACGGGAGAAAGUGGGGGAUCUUCGGACCUCACGCUAUUAGAUGAGCCUAGGUCGGAUUAGCUAGUUGGUGAGGUAAUGGCUCACCAAGGCGACGAUCCGUAACUGGUCUGAGAGGAUGAUCAGUCACACUGGAACUGAGACACGGUCCAGACUCCUACGGGAGGCAGCAGUGGGGAAUAUUGGACAAUGGGCGAAAGCCUGAUCCAGCCAUGCCGCGUGUGUGAAGAAGGUCUUCGGAUUGUAAAGCACUUUAAGUUGGGAGGAAGGGCAGUUACCUAAUACGUGAUUGUUUUGACGUUACCGACAGAAUAAGCACCGGCUAACUCUGUGCCAGCAGCCGCCGCGG
rnacentral:rRNA from 1 species